GGUAGAUCUGUUGACAUCGCCAUGGCAACUGUAAACGCUCUCCUCUCUCGAAACUACAGUUUCUCAGCUCCCAAUUAAUUUGGUGAAAAAUGUUCUCUCUGUGUUUCUGUGAUGUUGUCGCUACGUCCCCAGGCAGUGUUGGCUGGUUGUCAGUUUUUAUGAGCCGCGAUAAUGAAAGAAAUGGACACGUCAUUGUCCUCUACUUUGGGUUCUGAGAGACUGGAGAAACUACAGCUCAUCGCCCUACACACAACCCAGCUCUGUACAUGCAUGUACACACACACACACGUACAAUCUUAACCUCACCCACGCCCUACCCCCAUCCCUCACCAGAUCUUGUUAUGCAGCCUUCCAUUGAACAUGUCUUGACAAAUCUCCAAUCUACACUACUGAAGCUGAUAUGCAAUGGUUUUGAUUAACAUUCUCUUGAUUUCGACUAACAUUCUCUUGGUUUUGAAUAACAUUCUCUUGGUUUUGAAAAACAUUCUCUUGGUUUUGAAUAACAUUCUCUUGGUUUUGAAUAACAUUCUCUUGGUUUUGAAUAACAUUCUCUUGGUUUUGAAAAACAUUCUCUUGGUUUUGAAUAAC
rnacentral:lncRNA from 1 species